CCUACGGGAGGCAGCAGUGGGGAAUAUUGCGCAAUGGGCGAAAGCCUGACGCAGCGACGCCGCGUGAGGGAUGAAGGUCUUCGGAUCGUAAACCUCUGUCAGCAGGGAAGAACGGUCACUGUGCUAAUCAGCAGUGAAUUGACGGUACCUGCAAAGGAAGCACCGGCUAACUCCGUGCCAGCAGCCGCGGUAAU
rnacentral:rRNA from 1 species